rnacentral:misc_RNA from 1 species
AACUGAUACUACCUGCGGGAACCUGCGGAAGGAUCAUUACCGAGUUUACAACUCCCAAACCCCAUGUGAACAUACCUGUUUCGUUCCCUCGGCGGUGUCCGGCAACGGCCCGCCAGAGGACCCAACAAACUCUUUUGAAUUUUUCAGUAUCUUCUGAGUGAAAAAAACAAUAAAUCAAAACUUUCAGCAACGGAUCUCU